GACAGAGGGUGCAAACGUUGUUCGGAAUUACUGGGCGUAAAGCGCGUGUAGGCGGCUAAGCAAGUCGGGCGUGAAAUCCCACCGCUCAACGGUGGAAGUGCACCCGAAACUGCAUAGCCUAAGAGUCCUGGAGAGGAAGGUGGAAUGCUUGGUGGUAGAGGUGAAAUUCGUAGAUAGUCAAGCGGAACACCGGUGGCGAAGGCGGCCUUACUGGACGAGUGACGUCGACGCUGAGUACGCGAAACGUGGGAGCAACG
rnacentral:rRNA from 1 species